AUGGUCCACUGUCAUAUCUGCAUGCUCGGUCACCUGCGGUAACACAGGUAACACAUCAGCAGUGACAUUCUGCACAUAAAACAUGCUACAAGCAUCCAGAAAAUCAGUCAGCUCUGUGUGGAUGGUCUCACACUCAAGCGUCUGGAAGAUGAGCUCUGUAGUUCACCCCCUCAAACACCAUAUCAGCUGCAGCCCUGCUUCCAGCCCGACUGCCCACCCAGCUGGGAGGUCGGUGAGUUUGGACCCUGCAGCGCCCCCUGUAGCGUGGGAGAGCGAGUGCGCUCUGUCACAUGUGUUCAGAAGCAGGGUACGGUGAAAGUAGAGCUGCCUGACUCAGACUGUAUGCUUGACUCGAAACCCCAAACUACUGAGACCUGCAACCCCCAAAUCUGUCCUGCCAGGUAACGUGCAAAAGU